GGAAUCACUUUGUUAGGAAGGGGGAGUUGGUGAAACUGAAAGAAAAUCGAAAAGAGGAGACGAAUUAUUUUCAUUCAAUCUCCACUAUAGCUUCAGGAGUAAGACCGAAACCCUACCUCUGUACCUCUCUUUCCGACGGAAUCUUUUGGCCUCUUCUACCGGCGGCAACCUCAAUUUCCGGGAGUUGAAAUAUAGUGGAGGGCCUGGAUGCACUCAUUUUGGCAUCACAGAGGUAAGAAUAGUAUAAUUCCUACUUAAAAGAUACCUGGGUUGUAAGUGGAUGAGAUUAGAGACGCCGUCAUUGCGGCAAACGAUGCAACAGUAUUGAUUGGAGCAAGGUCCAAAAUAGUCUAACCAAAUGACUUUAUUUUGAUUGAUUGAAGAUGCCUUUAGCCCCUGAAAAAUUUUAACAGUUUUUAUUUUAUUUUUUUUAAUUUUUAGGUAUUCUACAUAUGUUUGUUUGGACAGCACGACAGUUUGUGUGGUUUCUCAUCUUCCCUUUUGCUGAUUAAUGGCAGAAAUGCCUAGCCGACAGACUUUCAGUUUUAGCUUCGACUAUGCCGGCAGAAGGAGAAUGGGUCUAGCUUCAUCUUCUCUUUGAACUACCUUAAUUGUCCUCAUACUAUUGAAGUGACAUUUGAUAGUUAUGGAUAUUGCAAUGGAGACUAGUGAAAGCAGCUCAAACAGUAAAUGUUCAAGGGAUAAAGAUGGCAACAUACCUGAUUCUACGUCUUUAAAUGGGCAACAACUACUAGUUCCUGAGGUGAGUCUUGAAGAGGAAAAUAAAAUCCGGGAAAGCAUUGAACAAAUUGCAAAAGGGAAAGAGAGGAUGGUGGAUGUCAAUGAUGCUCUUGUUUCAGAUGAAGCUCAAGAGUUAGAGUAUGAUGUUCCUUCAAUUGGCAAGGCGUUUGACUCUUCCGAACAAGCAUAUGAUUUUUAUAAUUGGUAUGCAGGAAAAAUUGGUUUUAGGGUUCGAAAAGGCCGUUCAGAAAAAACACGGAAGGGCAUUGUACGACAAAGAACAUUUGAAUGCUCAAAAGAAGGUCAUCGAAAAGUGGAUAAUCGGACCCGUAAUGUGAGGAAGAGUCGUCCAAAUACAAGAACUGGUUGUAAAGCUCGAAUGGUAGUAAAACUCACAAAGGAUGGGAUAUGGUUGGUUACUGAAGUUGUACGUGAGCACAAUCACCCCCUUGCAGUAGAAUCAAAAGCAUUUUUGCCUAGGCCAGAGAGAGUUGUAAAACCUACACAGGAUGCUAAAGUUGCAAGAUUUGAUAAUUCAGGGAUCUCACCUGUAGAAAGACAUAAUUCUUUAUGUGAGGAAGUUAGAGGGCAUGGAAAUGACUUAACAAAAUUUGUCUAUAGAAAUCAGUUGCGUAUCCAGCGUAUGAGGGACCUUAAAGAUGGAGAUAUACAAGUUUUGUUGGAUUAUUUGGAAAAUAAGAAUUUAGAAGAUCCAAUGUUCUUUCACAGUGUACAAGUUGACCAAGAAGAUAAAAUGAUGAAUUUUUUUUGGGUGGAUGCAAGGUCAGUCCAAAAUUACGUUUGCUUUGGUGAUGUUGUUUACUUCAAUGCAACAAAUCUUACUAAUAAGUAUGGUCGGCCAUUUGCACCGUUUGUUGGCGUAAACCAUCACAGGCAAAAUGUCUUUUUUGGUGCUGCAUUGCUUUUGGAUGAAACAACCGAAUCUUUUAUUUGGUUGUUUCACACAUUUUUAAAAGCUAUGUCUGGGCAAGCACCAAAGACAAUUGUUACUGAUCAACAUGCUGCUAUUGUUAAAGCUAUUGCUAUUGUAAUGCCAAAGACAUGUCAUCGCUUUUGUUUAUGGCAUAUAUAUCUUGAUGCUGCAAGAAACCUCUCUGUUGCUUAUACAGAUUCCUUCAGUAAAAGGUUCAAGAAUGUUAUAUAUGGUCCUGAAACUGAAGAGGAUUUUUUUUCAGCUUGGAGUGGGUUGUUAAAGGAGUUCAAUCUUGAAGGAAACAAAUGGUUAGAAUAUUUAUUUGAAAUUCGAGAGAAAUGGGCUCUAGUGUAUGGGAGAGAAUCUUUUUGUGCAGACAUGACAACAAUUCAACAAAGUGAGAGUACUGAUAGUUUCUUGAAGAGAUACUUGAAAAGAAAAUACAAUCUUUGGCGAUUUCUUAAGCGUUAUGAGAAAGCAAUGGAACGGCAACGCUUAGCUGAAUUAACAGAAGAUUUCAACUCUAAUCAAACUUUCCCUACAUUAUGGGCUGAUGUGGCAAUGUUGAAGGAAGCUGCCAAAGAAUACACGAGGAGUAUGUAUUCCAUGUUUGAAGAAGAAUAUAAAAGGUGGAUUGCCUGUGAUUGUGAUAUUUUUGAGGAGGUAGGACUAACAUGUGUUUAUAAAGUAACUGAAGAAACCAAAAGUGGUGAAAGAUUGGUCUUAUUCGACUCCUCCAACAGCACAGUUGUAUGCAGUUGUAAAAAAUUUGAGUUCAUGGGAAUUCAAUGCAGACAUGUGGUAAAAGUACUUAAUGAGAGAAAGAUCCGUACACUUCCACCACAAUAUAUAUUGAAGAGAUGGACAAAAUGUGCUAAGUUUGGGAUUUUAAACAACAGUGAUGGAGUUGUUAUUCAAGAUUCUGGUAAGACAAUCGCAUGUUCUCGUUAUAGUGAGAUGUGCCGCCAAAGUGUUUGCCUUGCAAUACAGGCUGCCAAUAGUGAGAAGGCUACAUUAAUUGUGAAGAAAAUUUUGAGAGAGUUACAUGUUAAAGUGGAAGAAAUUUUGAGAGAAGAAGUAAGACCAAAACCUAAAACAAGUGCCUUAUUCCAUGGUGAUCCAAUGUCCCAAAGAGUAAGUGGAAUUCAAGAAAAGGAUGAUGGUGGACCAAGUGGAAGAACAAUUAGCUUUUGUGGAGAAUAAAGGGUGAAGGAUGUCCCUGAGUUUGCUGAACACUUGAGCUAAAAAAGGAUAAAAUAGCCAAAAUUUGGAAGGGAGCAAUCAUGGUUCUGUUCAUAAUCAAGCAGCAAGUCAAUCCAAUUUGAUGUCAUGCCAAUUGCUUUCUAGUGGACUUGUACAAUUUGGCAUUCCCUUUCACCUCUUGGUUCCCAUCAUGGCAUUCAAUUUUGAAUUUAAACAGGAUUUUAACUCUGGAGAGUUUGGUCGGAGCCCUCUCUUCUUCAGGUUGAGCUCAAUCUUCGUGGGGUUACCUAUUUUCUUUGCAGCCCUCCAAAUGCUCUCUCUCUCAUGACAUUCCUCUGGAAUUGUAUGGAAUUGAAUCCAUAAUGAUGUGGCUUCUGCUUCUUUAUUUUGGUGGUUGUUAGCAAGGGGGCUGGUGAGAAGGUGUAAGAUGUGGUCUUGGAACCACCAUGGUGAAGCAUUUAAUGUGGUAUAUCUCUCACUUUCACUGUAGAAAUCUGAUUGUGAAGUUUCCACCAGCCAGGAUGGUAUUUGGCAUCCUUCUAGGGUCUCAUUGUUGUGCCAGAUUCUCUUAGGUGCCUUCUUAUUUGCUCUUGAAUUGCCAACCACAGCCAUGGAUUUUGACCUUUUUGGUCUACUUAACCCACUCGAUCUUGCUCAUCUUCAUCAGGAGUGUUUGCUACUUUCUCAAUUCUUGGUGCCCCUGCUGCAUAUUGUUUGGACUUGUGCAUAUUCUUGCGGUUCAUACCAGUGAUGCAUUGUAAUUUUUUGGUUCCCAAACUCUGUUUUGCAACCGCUGCUGGUAGUGCCCUUUUGAAGUUGCAGUGAUGAGGUAUGUAUCUAGAUUCUAGACUAGCUAUUUCUCUAUUCUUUAUGAUCUUGCUGUCAUUGAAUGGGAGCGCUGUGCAACUCUUCUUUUUGGUUGUAUCUGCUGUUGACUGCAUUCUCUUAGUCCAUUUAUUUCCUCACCUUUCCUUGUCGGAUGGAAGGUAGACUAAAGUUCCUAGUCGAGGGUAUGGCCUGUCCCCAAGAAAAUAAAAGGAGGGGGAGGGGGAGGGGGGUUCUCAGUCUGUCUAGAUUUGUUGCUGUGUUCUCACAACAAAGAGUUUGCUUCCCGGAAGGGAUAAAGUCCUGGGUGUACUGGGAUGAGAUUGAGAGGAGCUAGGGUAUGGGUUUAGCAGAGUCCUUACUGAGUCUGUCUCAACUAAUGGGGUUGGAACAGAGUUUGGUUAAAGAAAUGAAUGAAUCCUCUUUCUCAUAGGUUUCAUAUGUUUUCUCACCGGUUUUUCCCAGAGUGAGUUUUAUUGGAACUUCUCAUGAUUUCACAAUUUAAGGUUGAAAGUUCCGUGAGGUUUUCAUGCAGUUUAAUAGUCUCAUGGAGCUUUAAAGGUAUCAUAGAAAGAUGGAGAAGAAGGGUUCAAUGACAAGGGACAUUUUUUGUAGACUCAAAUAUGGAUUUGGUGCACGGCUCUUCUCAAAUUUGUCACUUGGCUGCUGAGGUGGGGCUGAAUCCGUGGAUUUAUAGCUUUGUUUGGUGAUAUUCCUGCUGAACGUUUCUUGUGUUCUUUUGUUCCAGGGGAACACAGAUAAUAGAUAUAUGCUCAACACAA